UACGUAGGGUGCAAGCGUUAAUCGGAAUUACUGGGCGUAAAGCGUGCGCAGGCGGUUGUGCAAGACAGAUGUGAAAUCCCCGGGCUCAACCUGGGAAUUGCAUUUGUGACUGUACGGCUAGAGUGUGUCAGAGGGGGGGUAGAAUUCCACGUGUAGCAGUGAAAUGCGUAGGAGAUGUGGAGGAAUACCGAUGGCGAAGGCAGCCCCCUGGGAUAACACUGACGCUCAUGCACGAAAGCGUGGGGAGCAAACAGG
rnacentral:rRNA from 1 species